UAUUACCUUUUUCACCAUAGGCAUCAAAGCGCUCCAAAUGACCACUUGCAGACACUACAAAAAGAGUAUUUCAAAAGUGCUAAAUCAAAAGAAAAGUUCAACUCUGUGAGGUGAAUGCACACAUCACAAAGAAGUUUCUCAGAAUGCUUCUUUCUUGUCUUUAUGUGAAGAUAUUUCCUUUUCCAUUCAGAACCUCGUAGCAGUGUUCUGUAAUCCUGUGUGAGGGACAAAUAAUCAGAACCCAGC
rnacentral:lncRNA from 1 species